UUCAUGAGAGAGGACCUGAUCCUUAGAAAGCUUGCCUAAUCUCUUGUUAUUUUGUUUUUUGCAUCAGUAUCCCUCCACUGCUGUCUUAGAAUCAGGAGGAGAGACAGAAGAGCAUCAUCUUGAAGUAUUCACACUCAGACUCCUGGGCUUUCAUUUCUGUGGGCUUCCCAUUGCUUGAAUGGAGUGGCUUCUGAAUUAUUCACUUUGCUCAAAUGUUUGUACCUGCUAUCUACCUUGGUUUGCUUUCUACCUCUCCCUGGCCAGUCCCACAGCACUGUCACCAGAUACUUAAGUGGUAAUGAGAGCCCAACUCCUUGUAAUUACAAGCUCAUUACUGAACAGAAUGACUGAAGGGCCUUUGAACGUGCUGUGCUCUGCUUGGAAUGUUCUUUACCCAAUAUAUGCCUGGCUCACUCCUUCACUUCCUUCAAGUCUCAGUUCAAAUGUGGUGUUAUCCAAUUUGUAAUAUCUUAACCAAUAAAGGGAAAAAAUAAAAAUAAAAGCAAAAAAAUAAAAAUAAAAAAUAAAAUGUCAUUCCCUUA